UACGUAGGGGGCAAGCGUUAUCCGGAUUUACUGGGUGUAAAGGGAGCGUAGACGGUUAUGCAAGUCAGAAGUGAAAGCCCAAAGCUCAACUUCGGGACUGCUUUUGAAACUGUGUAACUAGAGUGCAGGAGGGGUAAGCGGAAUUCCUAGUGUAGCGGUGAAAUGCGUAGAUAUUAGGAGGAACACCGGCGGCGAAGGCGGCUUACUGGACUGUAACUGACGUUGGGGCUCGAAAGCGUGGGGAGCAAACAGG
rnacentral:rRNA from 1 species